UGGAAAGUCUCAUGCCCAUACCACAUACUGUCGAAUGUCGAGAUUGCUCACGGGAAUUGAUAGUGAUUUAAAUAAUAAAUAGUCUGCUGCACUUGCAUAUGAACCGGUUCUUGUUUGGUUCAAGCCAAUUUUUAGCCGGUUCAGUCUAUUCUUUCUAGGUUAAUUGCACAAACAAACCAUAUCCUCAGACCGAACUGGUCCAAGAUGUGGCUCACCUGUUCAUUAGUUGGACUGGUCGGUCUGGUUUGAUAACGAUGCAAAUUGGCACCAUCAUCCAUUUGUUUCAACAUUAUAUUUUAAGUUAUCUAACUAAAUAUUUUAUUUUGUUUUUUGAAGAGUGAAUUGCGAGAAAAGGACCUAAAAUGAGCAUUUCUUUUACGCAAGAGAUUAGAAACAGUAUCAAUUACAGAGAGGAUUGAAAGCAACAGGGAGGCCCUAGGACUUGGUAGUGGGUUUAGGAGCUCCACAGCCCAUAAAAAGCUUUUGAUUUUGAUAGUGGCGUCCCUGUCUCCAUAGAAAUCUCUUCAACCUUAUCUCAUAAGAAGACAAUUCCAGAUAUAUUGUGCUUGCUUGUCCUUUUGCUGAUCAUAAUGUUUUCCUGAACUGGACAGGCUAUUUUUGUUGACUUUGGCAACAAAAACUUGUGUUUGAUUAAGGGAUUUCUUUUGACUUUGAGGGACCCCUGUGAAAGCCUCCAUAAGAUCUGCCUCUGCUUGUGUUUCAUGGAGGAGCAAAAUCAAAGGUGGUACAGGGCCCAUCUUUCUUAACCAUUAAGAGCAAUGAUAAUGUGCUGAUUUUGCUUAGAA